GGAGCUCGAAUGGGCCCUCUGGGUCCAACCUCCCACCCGUGUUUAUCGUACCUUGUUGCUUCGGCGGGCCCUCCUCACGGCCGCCGGGGGGCUUCUGCCCUCUGGCCCGCGCCCACCGAGGACACCAUUGAACGCUGUCUGAAGAUUGCAGUCUGAGCAAUUAGCUAAAUAAGUUAAAACUUUCAACAACGGAUCUCUUGGUUCCGGCAUCGAUGAAGAACGCAGCGAAAUGCGAUACGUAAUGUGAAUUGCAGAAUUCAGUGAAUCAUCGAGUCUUUGAACGCACAUUGCGCCCCUUGGUAUUCCGGGGGGCAUGCCUGUCCGAGCGUCAUUGCUGCCCUCAAGCACGGCUUGUGUGUUGGGCCCCGUCCUCCUUCCCGGGGGACGGGCCCGAAAGGCAGCGGCGGCACCGGGUCCGGGCCUCGAGCGUAUGGGGCUUCGUCUUCCGCUGUUGAAAGCCCGGCCGGCGCUUGCCGACAACAAUCAAUCUUUUUUCAGGUUGACCUCGGAUCAGGUAGGGAUACCCGGGGC
rnacentral:rRNA from 1 species